rnacentral:lncRNA from 1 species
AUCCCUAAGCGUCCUGCCACUCCCCCCUCAGUUCUCCUCCAGGCUCUCGCAGCUGUUUUCUUGGGCCCUCACUGGCCUCCAGCUCCUCUCUUCCUCAGUGCUAACUAGUCUCCUGGCUUUCACCUCUCCCUUCCCUUUCCCCAUUGUGCUCUUUCCCUCCCUGCUCUAGCUCACUCCCGUGAUUCUCCCUGUCCUUCCGCCUGGCAGGAGGUCUCCCUGCACCCCUCCUCUGGAGGCAGCCCAUCCCUAGUCUCCUUCCUUCACAGAGCCUUCCAGGCCCAUCCUUGCCCAGAAUGGGCUCUGUCUUGAAAAUCCUCACUCUCCAGACCAUUGUUGCUCUACUUCCUCUUAUGGGUAUCAUAACUUUGAGCCACUGUGGCUCCUGCCUCGCCAGGUGCUUAUUGUGCUCCCACAUGCUGACAGUGGUGGUUUUCCCACAGCAGCUGAACCAAUUUGAAUUGAAUGAGUAGAGCGGAGAAAGGACAAGUGGGAUUGGACAGCACCAUGAGGCAGACUACAAAUUGGAGCACACUUUGCACUUGCUCUCUGUCUGAUUGCUACGACUGCCCCACCCAGAUCUUCUUUCCAUCCACUCGGCUCUUUGAAACAAGGGGUGAUGUGCAGGCUGCACCAACCAGGCCUG